GGCCUGGUAGCAUAGCUGGAUAGUGCAUCUCCUUCAAUUUACAACCACGCAAUUUACGCAGGAGAAGAUCCCCGUUCGAAUUCGGGUCAGGCUU